UACGUAGGCGGUUACUCAAGUCAGAGGUGAAAGCCCGGGGCUCAACCCCGGAACUGCCUUUGAAACUAGGUAGCUAGAAUCUUGGAGAGGUCAGUGGAAUUCCGAGUGUAGAGGUGAAAUUCGUAGAUAUUCGGAAGAACACCAGUGGCGAAGGCGACUGACUGGACAAGUAUUGACGCUGAGGUACGAAAGCGUGGGGGAGCAAACA
rnacentral:rRNA from 1 species